CGGAUUAUGAAUGACUGCUGGCGUGUUGUUUGCUACCCGAGCUGCCUGUUUCUCUCUCUAGCGGCUCUGGAAGCCAGGGCUCGGCUGGCAGCAGCUCCCCGGAGGAGCCCCAGAUCCCGGCUCGGGCUGGCGGGAGGACCCUCGCGGCCACCGUCGCCCUCCCGCACCCUCCCUGCCUGGCCGCGCUUCUGCGCCCAGUGCAGCACCUGCCAAGGCGGAGAGAGCGAAAGAUGUCACUUCUGUGCUGGCCAGGACUGUCCUACAGAAGCCCGGAGACCCGGAAGUUAUUCCCUAGUUCCUGCCUGCUUAAAGCUCAUGGCGUACAAUUAAUGAACUAAGGGCCUCCUCAGGGUACACAGAGAAGGAAAAAAUGGAAGAGGGAUUUCUUCCAUGAUAUUCACAGACUUUGAGCAAAAAUCACGUUCUCUCUUGAAAAAUUAAAGACACAGUGCAAGCCAAAAAAGGUGACUCAGUGAAAGAAAAUGAAAGGCAUUAAGAAAAGUCUUACAGAAGAAUACCUAUACCUGGACUUUUCUCACCAAACAGAAGGAUGCAUUCUUCCUCUUCAUACAUCCGCAACGUUAUUUCUGUUAUCAUACUGUGACUGCAGAAUCUUUAAAGUUUGCUUGGUCCUCACCAAAGAAGGCACAGGUAGCUCACCACUAAGAGAUGUGCUGUCCCAGGACAUUGAAAUCCAGGUUGUUUCACGGCGAGAGCUUCCUCCCAUAGCACAGAAUUGCUGUCUGCCUGCGGUAGUGGAACAGCCAGACAACUUCUGUAGAGCAGGACUUGCUGUUGUGCUGAGACACAUAAUCCAGAAAGUGCAUGAGACAGACCCCUCGAAGAAGGAACUUCUGGAGCUUCUGGGUUUUAAAAAGACUUGUUUGAAAGCCUGUGCUGAAGUCAGCCAGUGGACCAGGCUGUGUGAGCUCACCAUCCCUCUGGCUAUUGAGAAUUUCCUCAGGGAGUCUUUGGGGCAGACCCCAGCCAUCCCCGUGGAAAUCCUGGAGCUGGAGAAGAAGCUGAGCGAGCCGGUGAGAGUGCACAAUGAUGACAAACUCCGCAGGCAGAAGCUGAAGCAGCAGACUAGGGGACAAGGGAAGAGCCAAGUGCGUCCUCCGGAAGCCUCGGAAGAGUCAGACUCCGCAUCCCAGAGUCUGGAACUGAAAGUGGCUUUCUCCAAGCUCACUGUGCAGGAGGGGCCAGCUGCUACCAACAGGGAGCCUUCCCACAUCCGGAAAGCCAAAGCCACUGAGCUUCCUCCUCUGGAGCAUGUAUUUGCAGAAGGGCUUUUCUUCACCUUGGCAGAUAUCGUGCUCCUGCCCUGUAUCCACCACUUUCUGGUCAUUAUCUGCAAGAAAUUUUCUGAGAAGUUGACAGAAUUUCCAUUGUUAGCCUCUUGGUACCAGAGAAUUCAGGAAGUGCCAAGAGUGAAAACAGCAGCUUCCAAGUGUGGGAUCCACUUUGUCCAGUUACCAGAGCUGUCAUCCUCUCCGAAUGAACAUUGUCCGCACCUAAUUGAAGCCCCGGGUGGAGAGGAGCAGAAUGAUCCUUUAUUUACGGGAGGACCAAGACCAACGAUGACCAAGUUAAUGGAAAAAGGCAUUGAAGUGAUGUUUUCUCCCCACCCCUGCCCUACGUGGACCCUUGACUGGAAUGGUCUUCCUGCUGCAGUGAGCCCGAAGGAAGGCCGAAUGUCCAGUGACCGAGCUCUGAGGAAGCAGCAGCAGCUAAACAACCUUGUUUAUGUGGUGAUAAAUCAGGCCAAGCCCGGGGACAGAAUUGUGGAUUUCUGCAGCGGCGGGGGCCAUGUUGGAAUUGUUCUCGCUCACAUGCUGCCAUCGUGCCAGGUUAUAUUAAUAGAAAACAAGGAAUUAUCAUUAAUUCGUGCUAAGAAGAGAAGUGAUGAACUAGGUUUAAGCAACAUUUGGUUCAUUCAAGCAAAUAUGGAGUAUUUUGCAGGAAUGUUUAAUAUUGGGGUGGCCUUGCAUGCUUGUGGCGUGGCAACAGACAUGGUGAUUGAACACUGCAUCAAAACCCGGGCUUCCUUCGUCACCUGCCCCUGUUGUUACGGUUUCAUCCAGAACACUUCGAAGUUUAACUUUCCAAAAAGUGAACAAUUCAAGAAAACUUUAUCAUACAAGGUCCCAGCUGCCUGCACCAUAGACUGGCGCCCCUAGUCUGGAGCUGGGGCCGGCCAUGUCCCUGGCAGGUGUGAAAGCUCCACGACAGAACUGACUCCCAGAGCUCUCCGAGCACCCGGCGGCCUCAUUCAGCACCCUGCACCACUCACCUCCCGCUGCGCUGCGCCGCGCCUCGCUGAGCAAGGGCUGCGUAUAACAGGGCAUAAACAGGGCUAAAUACCACGUAAGAGAAAUACAUGCAUAAUCCCACUGAAACUUGAUAAAUUAGUGUGAAGUUUUGUUUUGGUCAAUUCCACUUAUUAUACAGACCCACUAAAAACAUAGUUUCAUUUUAGACCAGCCCCUCCAUUUUAUGAAUUUUGCCUUCUCCUCCUCACAGUGAAAUAAUGGAACACAGUGUCUUGUCGUGUUCUUUUUACCAACUCAGCGGCUGUACCCCAUCCCCUCUCCUUCCUGCCUCCUAAAGGGGACCCAGCUGCACCUUCCUCCUUUGAAUAUGCUGGACAUCUUAAGCAUGGCCACAUUCUAGGAAACUUAAGAUUUUUCGGGGAAACAUUAGGACCCCAGAAAGUUUAUUUGCAUAAGAUUCAAAAUACAGGACCUCUGCUUUCUUACAGGGCUCUGCCAAUGAAGUAGCAAAUAAAUUGGGAAAAGCAAAAACUAGAUCCCUCUUAAACAGUGAGAGAGGGUACGGGGAAACUCGGGCAGCGAGGAGAUGGGCCGCAGUCCUGCUGGCUGGAAAAGAGUGAAACUCCCUGAGACAGGGUGCGUGGCACAGACCGCUCCAGAGAGCAGCAGCUUCCCAGGGUCCCACUGGUACCUCCUCUUCCCCCUGCACCCCCAAAGCGGCUUUGCCCCGGCCCGCUUUGUGGAGAAGUCUCACUGCUCGGACCCUGUGGCAAGAUGACAUCUCACAAUUGCUCGCUUCAUUUAGCUCCAUCAAAAUAUGUGGCCUGGAGAGGGACAUGAGGCCCAAAUACCCUGAAGAACGCUUGGGAAAUGUUCUUCUCCACAGUUCAAUUUAGCCAGAAAUCUCUGCUGAGAACCUGCUGUGUGAGAUGCCCUCUCAAACUUAGCUUUGCAGAGAGAGAGCGUACACAUAAUUCUGAUAAAGCAGAGUAAGAGGAUUGCAGCGUGCCUGUAGUUGUGCCUGACCUCCCUUCCCACCUGAGAACCAUGGCUUAGAAGCACCGAGAGGACAGGACAUGCUUGUAUUCACCUUCUCGUCAAAUCGCAUUAUUCCGAGUUGUUCUUCUGCCCCCUUGUUGAGACUAGUUAGUCUGUGGGAAUUUAUAAAAGUUAUUCAUUCGAACCAUUUCAUUAAUUCCCUACCCUUUGCCAUUAGAUUUUAUAGUGAACAUUAUAAUUUUUUAAAUACAUAAAAGUUGAGACAAAUAUAUCCCCGCUUUAGAGAAUUGCCACAAUCCUGUCUCUUGCCGUAUUUGUAAAAGCAGAGGCUUCAGACUUCGUGCCCAGCAUGCUGAGGACGCCUGGUGUCUGAGUGCCCCCGUUUGCCCAGCCAGUGGGUGCUGAUGCCUGCACCCUCGGGCCCAUAACUGUUCUAGCCAGUAGUUGUCACGGGCCUGGCAGUCACUUUGGCUGUGCCCAGCCAUUCUCCUUGGGCUACUUGCAGAUUUAAGGUCAUCGACUUUGAUCCUUUAAGGCCUUUUUCUCCCCAUUAAUGAAAUCCUUCCUAAAACUGAUAGGCAGAAGUAAAAAACCUCCUUCCCUUUGCUGAGGUCUCCCCUGGGGUGGUCUUACAGCAGAGAGGGAGGGGCCACCCGGAGCCUUUGGAGGGAGGCUCAGAGAGCGCCAGGCUGCCCUCCGCUAAGGCCAGUCGCGGGAGCUUGGAGACAGCUCCUGAGCGCAGCCUGCGGGUCCCUGGGGCUGGUGGAGCCACAGCGGCCAACACCUGGCUUCCUUUUCCGCGUGUACGGGGAGCCACGUAGCAUGUCCUCUGGGAGCCCAGGCCAAGAGGCUCAAGUCAAUUUUAUAAAUGAAAAAUGAAGUGAGCUGUUGGUCUUUUAAUUGAACACGUGAUAACAUUUUGCCCCAUUCUGCCUAAAAGCAAUGGGGCAAUGUGACCCCAAGGGUUUCUGUGGGCUUCUUCUCCAGAACUACAGCUGAAAGCAGCGUGGUGAAGGGAAGAAGCUAUUGGGCACCAUCUUCUCAAACUGCAUUUUCCAAAAGCACUCUCUGUGUAGUGCUUUACUCAGUUAAACAAUGUGGAACUCCAGAAAAAGGGAAGUAGCUUUUUUUUCUCGGUUUUCAUUUGCUUGUACAACUUUGAAACAGAAGACUGAGAUAAACCCAUAUCCCAUUACCUUUUCUUUUAGGAACACAUGAUUCUGUGCAGAUUUGCAGAUCAGACAGCCGUCCAGCUCCCACCCCAGCGCAGGCUGACAGGAAAACAGUGCAUGUGCCUGGUGGAUUUGGACCGAGCGAGAGCUGCAGAAGAGCAUGGCUACUCUGUCCAAGUGAUAUCCAUGGAGCCGGAGAGCUGCUCCCCCAAAAAUAACAUGAUCGUGGGAGUCC